GACGAACGCUGGCGGCGUGCUUAACACAUGCAAGUCGAACGGAAAGGCCCUGCUUUUGUGGGGUGCUCGAGUGGCGAACGGGUGAGUAACACGUGAGUAACCUGCCCUUGACUUUGGGAUAACUUCAGGAAACUGGGGCUAAUACCGGAUAGGAGCUCCUGCUGCAUGGUGGGGGUUGGAAAGUUUCGGCGGUUGGGGAUGGACUCGCGGCUUAUCAGCUUGUUGGUGGGGUAGUGGCUUACCAAGGCUUUGACGGGUAGCCGGCCUGAGAGGGUGACCGGCCACAUUGGGACUGAGAUACGGCCCAGACUCCUACGGGAGGCAGCAGUGGGGAAUAUUGCACAAUGGGCGGAAGCCUGAUGCAGCAACGCCGCGUGCGGGAUGACGGCCUUCGGGUUGUAAACCGCUUUCGCCUGUGACGAAGCGUGAGUGACGGUAAUGGGUAAAGAAGCACCGGCUAACUACGUGCCAGCAGCCGCGGUGAUACGUAGGGUGCGAGCGUUGUCCGGAUUUAUUGGGCGUAAAGGGCUCGUAGGUGGUUGAUCGCGUCGGAAGUGUAAUCUUGGGGCUUAACCCUGAGCGUGCUUUCGAUACGGGUUGACUUGAGGAAGGUAGGGGAGAAUGGAAUUCCUGGUGGAGCGGUGGAAUGCGCAGAUAUCAGGAGGAACACCAGUGGCGAAGGCGGUUCUCUGGGCCUUUCCUGACGCUGAGGAGCGGAAGCGUGGGGAGCGAACAGGCUUAGAUACCCUGGUAGUCCACGCUGUAAACGGUGGGUACUAGGUGUGGGGUCCAUUCCACGGGUUCCGUGCCGUAGCUAACGCUUUAAGUACCCCGCCUGGGGAGUACGGCCGCAAGGCUAAGACUCAAAGGAAUUGACGGGGCCCCGCACAAGCGGCGGAGCAUGCGGAUUAAUUCGAUGCAACGCGUAGAACCUUACCUGGGUUUGACAUGGAUCGGGAGUGCUCAGAGAUGGGUGUGCCUCUUUUGGGGUCGGUUCACAGGUGGUGCAUGGCUGUCGUCAGCUCGUGUCGUGAGAUGUUGGGUUAAGUCCCACAACGAGCGCAACCCUUGUUCACUGUUGCCAGCACGUUAUGGUGGGGACUCAGUGGAGACCGCCGGGGUCAACUCGGAGGAAGGUGGGGAUGACGUCAAGUCAUCAUGCCCCUUAUGUCCAGGGCUUCACGCAUGCUACAAUGGCUGGUACAGAGAGUGGCGAGCCUGUGAGGGUGAGCGAAUCUCGGAAAGCCGGUCUCAGUUCGGAUUGGGGUCUGCAACUCGACCUCAUGAAGUCGGAGUCGCUAGUAAUCGCAGAUCGGCAACGCUGCGGUGAAUACGUUCCCGGGGCU
rnacentral:rRNA from 1 species